CCUACGGGAGGCAGCAGUGGGGAAUAUUGGGCAAUGGGCGCAAGCCUGACCCAGCAACGCCGCGUGAAGGAAGAAGGCUUUCGGGUUGUAAAGCUCUUUUGACAGGGAAGAGUAGAAGACGAUACCUGUAGAAUAAGCCACGGCUAACUACGUGCCAGCAGCCGCGGUAAUACGUAGGUGGCAAGUGUUGUGCGGAUUUACUGGGUGUAAAGGGCGUGUAGCCGGGUUGACAAGUCAGAUGUGAAAUCCUGUGGCUUAACCGCAGAACUGCCUUUGAAACUGUUGAUCUUGAGUGCUGGAGAGGCAGGCGGAAUUCCUGGUGUAGCGGUGAAAUGCGUAGAUAUUAGGAGGAACACCAGUGGCGAAGGCGGUCUGCUGGACAGCAACUGACGGUGAGGCGCGAAAGCGUGGGGAGCAAACAGGAUUAGAUACCCGGGUAGUC
rnacentral:rRNA from 1 species